CAUCUGAAUGUUUCGUCGCAGCGUGGAGCCUUUCUUUCUCCCUCCUUUGAAAACCUUUCACCUGAUUAACUUGUUUUAUGAACACUUUAACCUCAGUUUCUUCCCUUAUAUUUAUACUUUCAUAACUUUUUGCCGUAUGGGACGGAACGUAUUUUCUCCAUUCUACUAUGGAUGAGGAGAGAGAGGAGGGGGAUCCUACCUCUAAGACCGCUCUGUCUGGGGAACUAGGCCGCCGGAGCAAAGCUAAGAGAAGGAGGCAGCAGAGAGCAGACUCCCUGGACCCAGCUGUGUCUCCAU
ensembl:lncRNA